GCGUCCGGGAGGUGGGGCGGAGAGUCGCGGCGCGAGCCCGGAGUCCCUACGUGGGUGUUCCAGUUGUCGCUCCGGCCGUGCUGACCGGCCUUCGAAGCUCGGCUCGCCAGCAGCCCGCCUGAAACCCAGAAUUUGAGUCGGGUCUUCGCAAGUGGUUUCGCGGGCUGGGCCAGGUUUUCCUGGUGUAAACCAAAGGCAUGCCAUCCGGAAGGAUUCUCACUUCCCGAAUCACGGUUUUUGCCUGCCAUGGUUAAGAACUACUUUCUUCCUGCAGAGCUGGUGGCCACAAGCCAGACAAUAAUGUGGCUUUAUUAUUAUCUGAGAAGCAACUUAAAGGAAGGGAGAGGAUAAGUGAAAUAUAAUUUCCUACUACCGCAGUAUGCGCCAGUGUCCACGAAACAUCAUCUCCACUCCCUCUCCAGAGCUGCCUCUCUUCCCUGCGUUUCCUGCGCGACCACUCAAUCGCUGUAAACCAGAAUUUGGGUGUUAUCCUUGACGUCUCUCUCCCCUUCAGCCCCUAUACCCAAACUGAACCCUGUGGUUACCAUCGCUGAUUCUUACCAGCCAAAGCAGAUAAGGACUAAGAAGAACCAUUGAUAAUUCUCGUAUGCCAGAUCCUCACCAAAUUACUGGAAGACUCCGCUUAACAACCAACAACGGGACCUAUCUUAACCACCUCGGAAUGGACUUAGGGAUGCACGCCUCCCGAUACAGAGGCCUGGGGUCCAGACCAUGUUUGGUAGACAGACAAACGUAGCCACGCACAUAACCAGAGCAGUAAAGUCCGUCGGCCAAAACAGAAGAGCUUGUGAAGAAGAAGGAAUAGUGCCUCAGUUUCAGCAUUAUUUGACCCUUUUUGGAACCUCAUUCAUGUGUGACUUCACACAUUAAGAAAUCCCAAAACAAAAAUGUCAAAAACAAAUUCCCGGUUGCAGUGUUUCACCUGACGUCUACUGAGGAUCUACAAUACCAGUGUCUAGGUGUUCAGGAUGUAUUUUGUAGCUUUGAAGAGGACCGUCAUCCAUCAGUAAAACCUUUCCCCAGGAAAUUGAUGACUGAGGUUAUGAAAAAAUAUUGCCUGCGUUCUCAACCCACCCUAUCUGCCACAUGCUUCUGGGACCUCAUUUAUCAGAAAGAAAACAUGCGGCGCGUUCAUUGUAAGCCAGACACUGCAUGAAGUGCUUUCUGUAGAUGAACUCAUUUAAUCUUCAUACCAACCCUUGGACUAGAGACUCUUAUUAUCUCUUGCUUUCAAACACAAGAGGAGAAAGAGGUUACCUAAUAGGGACACGGCCACUAGCCUUAAUAAAUGGCAGAGCUGCCCUAACUCCUUUCGUCUGUUCUCAAUACAGUGACCAGAGCACUCCUGUUAUGAGUCCGUUGUGUCAUCCUUAUGCUCAAAUCUCUCCAAUGGCCCCCUUUCUCGCGCCCACCUCUGAUCUGAGCACCUGCACGUGCUGCUUCAUCAGCCCAGAGCUUCUCCCCAGAUCAUCUCCCAGCUCACUUCCUCACCUCCUUUGUCUUCAUUCAAAGGUCACCUGCUCAGUGAGGCCUUCCCGGAUUAUCUGGGUUAAAACUGCAAUCCCUCCGCAGUUCCCUCCACGGCUUAUUUUUCUCCAUGACGCUUACCUCCACAUACAGUAUGCUGUAAAACUUACUGACUGCACAAUCGUCCUCCCACCCAGCACGUACGUUCUUUGAGAAGGAUGUUUAUGCGGCGCUUGGAACGGUGCUUGGCACACAACGGCUGCUCAAUGAGCAUGGACUGAGUGAGAACAGAUGUGGAGUAAGAGAGGCUGGUCUGCAGAGAGAAGCGUGAAGACAACACGUGGAGUUGGAGACAAGACGGAGGGAUGGCCCUGACUGCACCCUCUCCCUUUCUGAGCUCUGGUUCUCUUCUGUCCGACACACCUGUGUCUUUGUUAAAACUCCAGCCCCGUGCCCUCUGUUUAGAAUAGCCAGAGGAGCUUUCUGUGUCUCGCAGCUAAGUCUCUCUUACCGACAAGUCUAGCUUGACAAGAAAUGGCCCCUUAGUAGGGGGCUUGUGGACGGAGUGUUCCUUUGGCUGCCACAAGACAAGUAGGUCUCUUGGAUCCCAGUCGCCCGAAGACUUGCUUUUCGAGUGCCAGGGGCAGGGAGUAUGAUAGGAAAAGAUAGGAUUCAGUGGGCAGAGAGGGAAAGGUGAGGACCGGAGGUCCCUGGGUGUGGAAACACAUAUUUUGGGACAAUGCUGGGAGCAUCUGACCACAGAAAAACUCCCUCCGGCGUACGGUUCCUCUUAAGAAUGUAAUAGUCACCACCUCCUCCCUCUCAGGUUCCCCUCAGGAAUUUCACAAAAGACCUAUAAAAGUAGGUCUUUUGUGAAAGACCAUAAAAGGUAUGACCCACAAGGAAUGAUAUGGCCACAUAGCACCCCUCGUACAAUGGAAUCGAGCCAAUCAGGAAUGGACAACCCAGCGCCUAGAGUUCUCUCGCCAAUAAGGGGAGGACCUAAGAAGGAACCCGGGGGAAGGGAAGGGAGGGCUGACCAGAAUUAUAAAACAAAGAUCCUUACCUAUUGUGGGUAUUCACCUCCAAAUGCCCCCGUCUAUAAAGAGACAUUUCAUACUAUUUUUUUUUUAACUUUUUUAAACUUUUAUUUUUGAGGGACAGAGCGUGAGCAGGGGAGGGGCAGAGAG